rnacentral:rRNA from 1 species
UUUAUUGAGAGUUUGAUCCUGGCUCAGGACGAACGUUGGCGGCGUGUUUAAGGCAUGCAAGUCGAGGGAUCGGCCGUAGCAAUACGGUACGGACCGGCAGACGGGAGAGGAACACAUUGGCAACCUACCUUCGAGACGGGGAUAGCCCCGGGAAACCGGGAUUAAUACCCGAUGGUCAUGGGGGGACAUAAGUCAUUCCCAUGUAAAUCAUUUCUGGCUCGAAGAGGGGCCUAUGCCCUAUCAGCUAGUUGGUGAGGUAAUAGCUCACCAAGGCUACGACGGGUAGGGGACGUGAGAGCGUGACCCCCCUCACUGGGACUGAGAAACUGCCCAGACACCUACGGGUGGCUGCAGUCAAGAAUCUUCCGCAAUGGACGAAAGUCUGACGGAGCGACGCCGCGUGCAGGAUGAAGCCCCUCGGGGUGUAAACUGCUUUUAUAGGGGACGAAUUUGUGACGGUACCCUAUGAAUAAGAGGUUGCUAACUCUGUAAGCCCAAACCGGGCCUGGUGCAGAGUGAUUGUGGUAACACAGUCAAAGAAAAUCUCGCUAUAUGCUGGAAACUUCUGUUAAUGGCACACUACCUAAAAACGGUGACAAUGUGUGUCAAACCCAAAAAAACGUACUACCGCACGUAUAGGGGUUGCAGAACAAUCAGCAGGAAACCGCAAACUACAACCGGUUUGCGGGCUCCUCAGAGACUACACGCGAGACUCCCGAGUUAGUCGGGAUGAUGAUAUAGUCCAACGAGCUCUUCAUAUGAAGGCAGAAGUGAAAGAAAUAGUAACCGCCUCGCUUUUAGGUGAUGGUUGGUUGACGGAAUUGAAGCCGAGAACAGGAACCGCUAUGUACUAUGUGAAAUAUCAUGGUCGUAGCCGGGAUUAUCUGCAAUGGCUUCACGGACAAGUUCGCGAACUUGGUCCUUCUGAACUGAAGGAAGUCGCGCGCUAUGGUCAAUAUUAUUUCUACACGAAAGCCCGAACAGACAUCGGCGAACUAAGAAAACUUUUUUACCCAAACGAGGGAAGAAAAGUGAUUCCGCGAAAUAUCCGCGAACUGCUAUCUACGCCCAAAGCCUUGGCCAUUUGGUACCAAGACGAUGGAACAUUAGAUAAACGGUCGCGUGAUCAUUGGAAUGCAAUGUUCGCUACGUAUUGUUUUGGUUAUGAAGAGUGCGAGCUGCUUGCGAAAACACUGAAAGAUAACUUCGACCUGGCUGUAUCGGUUUGCCGAUGCCAGAUGCGGGGUAAAAUGUAUUAUCGGCUUUAUGUGCGAUCCCAAAGUAUGAAUAACUUCAUACGACUCGUACAGCCGCAUAUACACCCAUCAUUCAGUUACAAAAUUUCGCUUAACAAUGGCCAGCAGCAGCGGUAAUACAGAGACCUCAAACGUUGUCCGGAUUCAUUGGGCGUAAAGCGUCCGCAGGUGGCAUGGAAAGUCAGGGGUCAAAGCUUCCGACUUAAUCGGAAAUCUGCUUCUGAUACUUCCAAGCUAGAGGUUGUGAGAGGCACACGGAACUGCCGGUGUAGUAGUAAAAUGCGUUGAUAUCGGCAGGAACACCAAAGGCGAAGGCAGUGUGCUGGAACAAUCCUGACACUCAGGGACGAAAGCGUGGGGAGCGAAUGGGAUUAGAUACCCCAGUAGUCCACGCCCUAAACUAUGUGUACUAGGUAUAUGGAGUAUCGACCCUCCAUGUGCCGUUUAAAAAAGCUAACGCGUUAAGUACACCGCCUGGGGAGUACGGCCGCAAGGUUAAAACUCAAAGGAAUAGACGGGGACCCGCACAAGCGGAGGAUCAUGCGGCCCUUAAGUGGGGUAACGAGCGCAACCCUCGUUGUGUGUUACAUUGGACACACGAGACUGCUCGCGCAAGCGAGAGGAAGGUGGGGACGACGUCAAAUCAGCAUGGCUCUUACGUCCCGGGCGACACGCAUGAUACAAUGGCCAGUACAAAGGGUUGCCAAGCCGCGAGGUGGAGCUAAUCCCAUAAAGCUGGUCUCAGUUCGGAUUGCAGGCUGCAACUCGCCUGCAUGAAGCUGGAUUCGCUAGUAAACGCGCAUCAGCCACGGCGCGUUGAAUACGUUCUCGGGUCUUGUACUCACCGCCCGUCACACCACGAAAGUUGGCAAUGCCCGAAGGCUCUCGUUCGAGGGACGAAGGCAGGGUCAAUGAUCAGGGUGAAGUCGUAACAAGGCAUCCGUAGCGGAAGCUGUGGAUGGAUCACCUCCUUU